rnacentral:rRNA from 1 species
UACAUCGGAACGUGUCCCGUAGUGGGGGAUAGCUCGGCGAAAGCCGGAUUAAUACCGCAUAUGCUCUACGGAGGAAAGCAGGGGAUCCGCAAGGACCUUGCGCUAUGGGAGCGGCCGAUGUCCGAUUAGCUUGUUGGUGAGGUAAAGGCUUACCAAGGCGACGAUCGGUAGCUGGUCUGAGAGGAUGAUCAGCCACACUGGGACUGAGACACGGCCCAG